rnacentral:rRNA from 1 species
UGGGGAAUAUUGCACAAUGGGCGCAAGCCUGAUGCAGCCAUGCCGCGUGUAUGAAGAAGGCCUUCGGGUUGUAAAGUACUUUCAGCGGGGAGGAAGGGAGUAAAGUUAAUACCUUUGCUCAUUGACGUUAUCCGCAGAAGAAGCACCGGCUAACUCCGUGCCAGCAGCUGCGGUAAUACGGAGGGUGCAAGCGUUAAUCGGAAUUACUGGGCGUAAAGCGCACGCAGGCGGUUUGUUAAGUCAGAUGUGAAAUCCCCGGGCUCAACCUGGGAACUGCAUCUAAUACUGGCAAGCUUGAGUCACGUAGGGAGGGGUAGAAUUCCAGGUGUAGCGGUGAAAUGCGUAGAGAUCUGAAGGAAUACCGGUGGCGAAGGCGGCCCCCUGGACGAAGACUGACGCUCAGGUGCGAAAGCGGGGGGAGCAAACAGG